ensembl:lncRNA
CACCUUUGUAUUAUAUCGUGCGAGGUGACGCUUUGUCUACCAGACUUAUUAUUUGGCUUUCGACAAUGGUUUCGCCACAUAGUACAGUACAGUAGGUGAGACUUUGUCUUCAAUGUGUGGAAGUAUUGAUCGCCCCUCAGGCCUGAGUCGAUAGUGGAACCCAACAGAAUGUUUCAGCACAGGACAUCCAGAGGAGAGGGGCCUGCCAGCCUGCCUUCCAGCCCGUCCCCUUUUGGCUUCCCUCCAUCCCUCCGCUGAUUUUUUCCAUCUUCCUCAGUGCUUUCAUCAAGAGCCCUCAGCCGCCGCAUACAUUUGAUGUGCCAAAAAUGUGAGCCUUGCUUUUGUAAGUGAUCUGACAUUUUGAAAGGGAGUCUAGACUGCUUUUUACACUGUCAUCAUGGCAUUGUCUACUGGCUCCUUGACUGAACAAUUGUUCCACAUUGAGUUUUUAUUCAAGUGUGCCAAAAAAAUCCCCAAAACAUGCCUGUCAUUCUGAAGUGGAAACAUCAAAUAAGUGGCAUGGUAAAACAACAAGCGUAACAUUGUUGAUAAGACACUGAUUAGUUAUGUGCAACUGGGUGUACUUGGGCAUCUGAAAAACAAAUGUAAGAAAUGGAAAACAAUUGUAUGUUUUCUCUGUUAUAUGUUGUAUAAUGUUUUAAGCAGGCAGGUGCAGGGAUGUACUAGAUCAGGAUUCCUCUUAUCUUACCGUGCCUAGGAUGUCUCGCUUUAGACACAUUUUUCCAGCUGGCUCCAAAACACCAGUACAUUUCAGAAAGAGUAAUACAUAAGUUGUUAUAUAGUUGUAAUAAAAUAAGUGGUUCAAAGAACAAAGGGGAACGAGGCUGGGGGUGAGGGAAAGGAGAAGCAGAGGAAAUUGGAGAGGGGUGGCGUCCGGCAGUGGUCUGUGGUCCUCUUUUCCCAAGACUCCUGCUGUGCUGUUGUUUAAGAGCCCAAUCCCUCCCGCUCUCCCUCACUCUCUCCCAAAUCCCUCCAUCCUCCCUCCUCCACAAACCCCUCUGUCCUCGUGGGCUGGUGGGAUAGUCCUCCCUGUUAAGAGUUAAUUGGAGAGGAUGGAUGGGAUGACAGGACAGGAGGGAUAAAAAGAUGACUGCAAGGCCCUGCAGGUGGACGAUGUGGUGACUAAAUACCUCUCUGGUUACCUUUAGCUUAUAGUUGUGAAGGAAGAAGGCAAAAUAAUACAUUGUUGGUCAUAAGAAAAAAGGUAGUGGCAUCAGAAAACCAGCCAGUAUCUGGUGUGACCACCAUUUGCCUCAUGCAGCGUGACAACUCCUUCACAUAGAGUUGAUCAGGCUGUUGAUUGUGGCCUGUGGAAUGUUGUCCCACUCCUCUUCAAUGGCUGUCUGUAGCUGCUGGAUAUUGGCCUGAACUGGAACAACAUGUCAAUCCAGAGCAUCCCAAACAUGCUCAAUGGGUGACAUGUCUGGUGACAUUGUUUACUGAUCCUUGCGACAUGGGGCUGUGCAUUAUCAUGCUGAAACAUGAGAUGAUGGUGGCGGAUUAAUGGCACUACAUUGGGCCUCAUGAUCUCCUCACAGUAUCUCUGUGCAAACCGCUCGCCCACACCGCUGCCAUCUGCCCGGUACAGUUGAAACCAGGAUUCAUCAGUGAAGAGCACACUUCUCCAGUGUGCCAGUGGCCAUCGAAUGUGAGCAUUGCCCACUGAAGUCGGUUACGGCGCCGAACUGCAGUCAGGUCAAGACCCUGGUCAGGAUGACAAGCAUGCAGAUGAGCUUCCCUGAGACAGUUUGUGCAGAAAUUCUUUGAAUGUGCAAACUCACAGUUUCAUCAGUUGUCUGGGAGGCUGGUCUCAGAUGAUCCCGCAGGUGAAAAAGCCAGAUGUGGAGGUCCUGGGCUGAUCUGCGGUGAUCUGCGGUUGUGAGGCCGGUUGGACGUACUGCCAAAUUCUAUAAAACAAAUUUGGAGGUGGCAUAUGUUAGAGAAAUGAACAUUCAACUCUCUGGCAACAGCUCUGGUGGACAUUCUUUCAGUAAUCAUGCCAAUUGCACACUGCCUCAAAACUUGAGACAUCUGUGGCAUUGUGUUGUGUGACAAAACUACACACUUUAGAGUGGCCUUUUAUUGUCACCAGCAGAAGGUGCAUCUGUGUAAUGAUCAUGCUGUUUAAUCAGUUUAUUGAUAUGUCACAUCUGUCAGGUGGAUGGAUUAUCUUGGCAGGGGAGAAAUGCUCACUAACAGGGAUGUAAACAAAUGUUUGCACAAUAUUUGAGAGGGAUAAGCUUUUAGUGUGUUUGGAACAUUUCUGGGAUCUUUUAUUUCAGCUCAUGAAACUUUACAUGUUGCGUUAAUAUUUUUGUUCAGUAUAUAAAAUGUAUUUGAUUCUCCUCGUGAGAGCUAAUGACUCUCCUCCAAACAAUAUGUUACUUUGCAUUUUCCAUUUAAUGUAUUUAAAUAUUUAUCACCUACAAUAGUAAUGCUUUGGUGCCUUUACUAGCAACCAAUGUGAAUGGAGAACUCAGGGAAAGAACUAAUGUGGCAGAGACAAUGCAAAUUUGGCGUGAGAGCAAUAUAUUUUGUUACUGACAAUACUCUCCCGUUGAAUAAAAUACUACCUGAUUUAGGCAUCAAUGUAGUAAUGAUAUCAAUUAACUAGAAGGACCUUUUCUUUUACCAUCAAUCUUUCUGCCAUUCUGCUUACUGUUAAUGCUGUAGUGUAUCCAAACAUUUGAUGAAGUGUGUAUGCUCACUUGUUUGCAUGUUUAUUUGCGUUUGUACACAGUAAACUUUUGGUUGAGUGUGGGUUUUCCCUGUGGAUGGGGAAGGAGUCAUCUGGGAAGGCAUAUGGAUGUCUUGGGAACAACUGUUCUAUAGGCAGAAGGCAGGGAACCCCUAUACUCACCUCUCUCAGACAGCCUAGGAGGACUCACCCACUCACAACAGAUGCCCAGUUAGUCUGAGCAGCACCGUCUCUAAAGAUCUGUCGGUCUGUCAAAUUAGCACAUCUUUACGUUUAUUGGAGGUGAGGUGGGUAGGAGUGUAGUUGUGUUUUUUCUUUAUUUCAUGCCAAGUAGAAUUUGAUGAUUUUUCGUAUUCAUCAAAGGCAUUGAUGUAUCCAUUGAGAUCUUUCAUAAUGCUGAAAUUAAAGAUGGGUAAAUUUUAUGCCUGAGCUGAUUUAAUACAUUUUUAAAACUGCAUUUAAGUGGGGUCCAAUCUUUCAAUCCUAAACAUGAAUGAAUUAAACU